rnacentral:rRNA from 1 species
AACGAACGCUGGCGGCAGGCUUAACACAUGCAAGUCGAACGGGCAUAGCAAUAUGUCAGUGGCAGACGGGUGAGUAACACGUGGGAACCUUCCUAGAGGUACGGAACAACGCAGGGAAACUUGUGCUAAUACCGUAUACGCUCGAGAGAGGAAAGAUUUAUCGCCUUUAAACGUGCCCGCGUAGGAUUAGGUAGUUGGUGAGGUAAUGGCUCACCAAGCCUACGAUCCUUAGCUGAUCUGUGAGGAUGAUCAGCCACACUGGGACUGAGACACGGUCCAGACUCCUGCGGGAGGCAGCAGUGGGGAAUCUUGGACAAUGGACGCAAGCCUGGUCCAGCCAUGCCGCGUGAGUGAAGAAGGCCUUCGGGUUGUAAAGCUCUUUUACCAGGGACGAUAAUGACGGUACCUGGAGAAUAAGCCCCGGCUAACUUCGUGCCAGCAGCCGCGGUAAAAC